rnacentral:pre_miRNA from 1 species
AAUCUACUCCCUCCGUUCGGAAUUACUUGUCACGGAAAUGGAUGUAUCUAGACGUAUUUUAGUUCUAGAUACAUUCAUUUUCAAGACAAGUAAUUCCGAACGGAGGGAGUAUGUC